GUUUUAAUAGGUUAUAAAGCUGAAAUCUCUCAUAUAGAAGUUGAGGGCUUUUAUGGGAAGGCUGAAACCCUUCUUAGAGAA
rnacentral:tRNA from 1 species